AUUGAGAUUACAGGCGUGAGCCACCGCGCCUGGCAAAAGCCACAUGUUCUUAGCAGUUCUUAGUAGUGGUAGAGUUAAGUUUGUCUCUGGGGCUCUUUGUUACCACCGCUCCAGAGUUGCCCAUUGAGGACUAUCAAUUGGAAAUAUGUCCCUGAGGAAAAAAUGAUAUACCAAUUGAUUGUGUGUUACCACUCAGAUACACAGGCAACAGGCUUUUAGCCUGUGAUAAAGGACCAGAGGUUAGUUCAGCUGAGCACUCUUCCAGCAGCCACCAGAGGGUUCUGAAACAGAUUCCCCCUUGGCAAGGUUUCCCAAAUGUCUAAAUUACUAAAUCAGUAUGGGAGGUCACCAGCUCUGUGACUGGUUAAUGUAGUUUUUCCCAAGAGCACUCCUUCUCUGACCGAGGAAAUGCUGGAAAUCGAUGGGAUAAGUAAUGUCUGGGUGACUGCUUUAGGCUGGCUUUAUGUUUACAUAUUGAAUUGAUUUUCCUUGCUGUGUUUAUAGUACAAGUUGUGCAAAGUGAGAAAGAUUACUGUGGGAGUGAAGGGAAUCCCUCACCUGGUGACUCAUGAUGCUCGAACCAUCCGCUACCCAGAUCCUGUCAUCAAGGUGAACGAUACUGUGCAGAUUGAUUUAGGGACUGGCAAGAUAAUCAACUUUAUCAAAUUUGAUACAGGCAAUUUGUGUAUGGUGAUUGGUGGAGCCAACCUCGGUCGUGUUGGUGUGAUCACCAACAGGGAAAGACAUCCUGGUUCUUUUGAUGUGGUGCAUGUGAAGGAUGCCAAUGGCAACAGCUUUGCCACGAGGCUUUCCAACAUUUUUGUCAUUGGCAAUGGCAAUAAACCUUGGAUUUCCCUGCCCAGGGGAAAGGGCAUUCGACUUACUGUUGCUGCAGAGAGAGAUAAGAGGCUGGCCACCAAACAGAGCAGUGGCUAAAUUGCAGUAGCAGCAUAUCUUUUUUUCUUUACACAAAUAAACAGUGAAUUCUCGUUUCCUAA
rnacentral:sRNA from 1 species